rnacentral:misc_RNA from 1 species
AGGCUUGCAAUUAAUCUGCUACUAUAAUGGAAAUUAGCCUCAAUUGCAUUUGCUGCACAUAUUUGGUACCCUAAGUAUCAAAUAGUAAGCAUUGAUAUUGCAAAUUGGGCUGUUACUUUUAAAAGAUCACAGCUUUUUAACUCAUUGCUAUGCAUGUUUUAUUGGAAACUAUGGAAUUGGCGUUGAAUUAUUAAGUGUUGGAGGUUUCAAAUUUUGGUUUAGAG